UUUGAAAGAUCACCUUGUUAACUACUAUGAGGUAUGAACUUUCCGCUGCAUGACCUGGGUAGCGAUUAAUUCAUGGAUUUCAUUACCAUUUUUCUUUCUGUACUUCAGCCUGAUAGAAUUCCAUUUCUCCAGUUAGUAAAAUCCCCAAUCCAUUUCUAUUCUCAAUGUAUUCUAUGGUUACGUAUGAUGUCACAUCCCGUUUCUGUACUUCAGCCCGAUAGUAACUCCAUUUCUACAACAACAACAACUACUCAGUAAACUCCCACAAAGUGGGGUCUGGGAAGGGUAAUGUGUACGUAGACCUUACCUCUGCCCCAUUGGGGCAGAGAGGCUGAUUCCGAUAGACCUUCGGCUCAGAAAAAACAGAAAAGAGAAUUCAUUAGUAACUCCAGUAGUAACUCCAUUUCUCCGGUUAGUAAAAUCCCAAAUCCAUUUCUGUUCUUAAUGUAUUCUAUGGUUGCGUAUGAUGUUACAUCCCGAGUUUUCUUUUUUCCUUCUCAAAUUAGGAAGAGUUUUCAGUUUGUUAAAAGAGGGAGUAUGUGGCUUCAUUCUAGUCAUCGACUCUUAGAUACAUUUUGUAGUUGUAACUUUUGACAAGAGCCCUUCUUGUAAUUGUGAGAAACCUGAAGGAGUCCACGUAAUCUAUCUUUGUGCAAAGACUACACUUAUAUUAAAUUGUUUGUUAUACAAUCUAAAGGCAGAAAUUUAAAAGUUUUUGCUGAAUCAGAAUAAGAAAUGAUUGUUGUCUAAGAAGGUCGAUAAAAGAAAGGUAAACUUUGGGUUUUAAUUUGCUAAAGCUAAAAUUACCAAGCUCGGUGAUAUCUUACUGUGGGUGAUUAAACCUGCAUUUUUUAGAUCUUAUGGUCAAUGACCACCUAAACACUUUGAUGCUUUAAUUUUUAAGAGAAGUAUGACUAGUCUGGUUCUUCAUUAGGUCUGCCUCAUAUAAAUGUAAUUAAAGCUUAGUCUGGAUCAAGUGAAUUCUUUCAACUAGCCAUGCAUGAAUAAUCUGACAGCUGAUCUCCUCUUAUAAGUACUGUUGCUAAAAGAAGUUGCACUCAGAUCUCCAGUCUCAUCUUUCCAGUUUGACCACAAUAGCCUGGCUGGAAUUAAUAGCAAUACAUAUAACACUUCAUAUAGCUGACGGCAACGAGUGUUCGGAUUGUGACAUAGUUGUUGUAUAUAACAUUUCACCCCACCAAAAGAUAUUGAGAUAUUUUUAUAUCUGUUUGCAAGUGGAGGAGACUAAUCCUGUCAUCAUUAGAGUCC
rnacentral:lncRNA from 1 species